AGAUACCCCACUAUGCCUAGCCGUAAAAUUUAACCCACACCUACAAACGCCAGGGUACUACGAGCCUAGCUUAAAACCCAAAGGACUUGACGGUGUCCACCCAACUAGAGGAGCCUGUUCUAUAAUCGAUGAUCCACGAUAUACAAAACCAUUUCUCGCCAUUCAGCCUGUAUACCUCCGUCGCAAGCUUACCGUAUGAACGUACACUAGUAGGCCAAAGGAUCCUAACAUCAUAACGUCAGGUCAAGGUGCAGCUAAUGAAAUGGAAGCGAUGGGCUACAAUUUCUAAAUUAGAACAAACGNNACACUACAUGNACACAUAGUGAUGAAGGCGGAUUUAGCAGUAAGUAGGAAAUAGAGAGUCCUACUAAACAUGGCCCUGGGAUGUGUACAAACCGCCCGUCACCCUCUUCGAUAGUUUUAAUAUAGUUUAUAACACAUCAAUACGCCUUAGAAGAGGCAAGUCGUAACAUGGUAAGUAUACUGGAAAGUGUACUUGGAAUAACAAAAUGUAGCUUAACUAAAGCCUUUCGCUUACACCGAAAAAAUAUAUGUGAAACCCAGAUCAUUUUGAGUCCAAAAUCUAGCCUAAAACUAUCGUAUAUCCCUACCACCUAGCUUAAUUAAAAUAAAACAUUUUAUCUUUAUAGUAGAGGUGAUCAAAAAAUAACUAAGAGCUUCAGAAAUAGUACCGCAAGGGAAAGAUGAAAUAAAAAUGAAACAAAUUUAAAACAAAUUAAAGCAGAGAUUUUCUCUCGUACCUUUUGCAUCAUGGUCCAGCUAGUAUAAUCAAGCAAAACGAAAUUUUAGUUUGCACCCCCGAAACUAAGCGAGCUACUUCAAAACAGCCAAAAGAGCCAACCCGUCUCUGUAGCAAUAGAGUGGGAAGAUUUUCAAGUAGAAGUGAUAAGCCUAACGAGCUUAGAGAUAGCUGGUUAUUCAGGAGAAGAAUAUUAGUUCUACCUUAAAUUUUCUUAUAAUAUCAAAUAAAUCCUAAGAUUUAAGAGCUAUUCAAUUAAGGCACAGCUUACUUGAAACAGGACACAACCUAUACAACAGGGUAAACAUCAAUUAUUAUAUUAAGUGGGCCUGAAGGCAGCCACCUUUAAAAAAGCGUUAAAGCUUAUUAUUAUUAAUUAACAAAUACCAAAAAUUAAAAUGAACCCUUACCCCCUACUGAAUAAUUCCAUACCCUUAUGGAAAUCAUCAUGCUGGAACUAGUAACAAGAAUACGAAAUUCUCUAAAAUGCAAGUAUAAACCAAAAUGGACACUCCACUGGUAAUUAACGAAAAUGAACAAACUAUAGUAACUUAAACAAGAAAAACCUAUAAAUUUCCUCGUUAACCUAACACCAGAGCAUUACUAGAAAGAUUAAAAGAGAAAGAAGGAACUCGGCAAACACUAACCCCGCCUGUUUACCAAAAACAUCGCUUCUUGAAGAGUUAUAAGAGGUCCAGCCUGCCCAGUGAAAAUUUAACGGCCGCGGUACCCUGACCGUGCGAAGGUAGCAUAAUCACUUGUUCUUUAAAUAGGGACUAGUAUCAACGGCAUCACGAGGGUUACACUGUCUCCUUUCUCCAAUCAGUGAAACUGAUCUCCCCGUGAAGAAGCGGGGAUAUAAUCAUAAGACGAGAAGACCCCAUGGAGCUUUAAAUUUUACAGCAACUCAGUCAAACAAACCUUUAUAAUCCACAGAGCCAUGCAUGCCAAUUUUAGGUUGGGGUGACCGCGGAGCAAAAAUAAACCUCCACGACGAAAAGAACUAAAUCUUUAUCCAAGAGCUACAACUCUAAGAAUUAGAAUACUAACGACAAUGACCCGAUAAUCGAUCAACGGACCAAGUUACCCUGGGGAUAACAGCGCAAUCUACUUCAAGAGCUCAUAUCGACAAGUAGGCUUACGACCUCGAUGUUGGAUCAGGGUAUCCCAGUGGUGCAGCCGCUACUAAUGGUUCGU
rnacentral:misc_RNA from 1 species